rnacentral:tRNA from 1 species
UCCCUGAUAGCUCAGUUGGUAGAGCGACGGACUGUUAAUCCGCAGGUCCCUGGUUCGAGU